AUUCUACAGAUUCUUCAUUGGGUCAGAGUUCUGCUUCUCUUCGUCUUCUUCAGACUUUGUGCUGUUUAGAUUUUAUAUUUCUACAUCUCUGGACCUUCGUACCUGAAACUUUCUCCACCAACUCUUCGGUAUCUCUCCUGCUGCUGACUCUAGAACUCAUCUCUCUUCUGUCAUUCAGAUCAACAUGAAGAUCUCUAUCUUUGCUGGUGUUCUGCUGAUCUCUGCUGCUCUCAUGUUCCUGGGACCAGAACCUGCAGAUGCUCUGUCCUUUGAUACUAGGCACACCU